CUACCAUUUCCCACAAUUCCCCCUUUUUUAUUUUAUUUAGGCUAAAUUCUUGAUUCUAACAUCACGAAGAUCAAGAGACAGGAUCUUGACAGGCCAGGAAGGGAGAUGUCUUAUGUCAGCUCAAUUUGAUGUCUAGUCCUUCUAUAAUUUUAUAAAACAGUAAGAGAUAUAGUAAAAGAGGAAAUAAUACUGAAAAGAAAUCAUCUUUAAAUUUUUCAAUCAUUGUAUAAAGGGAACAGAGAUGGUUUCUGUUUUUGUUUUAGCAUAUAGGUAAUUCCUUUUGGGGGGCACAAUCCCACACAGUAAGGUAGGCAUUGUUACAUUUAUCUUAGUCUUAAAGGUUAACAAGUAACUCAUAAAGCCACAGGCAAGUUUACAUGUCUCAUGUCUCUGUUCACCAGAGCCGUACAUCUAAGAGUGUAUCGCAGCCCUCCUCUAUCAGAUGUUCCAGAAAAGCAGGGUGAUUUCUGCAGAAAUCAAGCCCACAAUCUUUCCCUCCAUCUGUAGAGUCACGGGGCCAUGAUUCUUUGACCCCAGACAAUGGUUACUAAGAGAGCUUAGGAAUACAUGUUUACUUCCUAUGAACUUUUACAUCUUUUAAGGUUUUCUGCAAUCCUUUCAGCAAAAAGGCCAGAGGAAGUUCUCUGAGACAUUUACUUAGUUCUUUCAAUUAAGUUUCUUACAAUUAGGAACUAAAUCCUAGAGUUGAGGACAUUCACAGAGAAUUGCUUAAUUUUCUUAUUUUACAAGCUUCUUACAAUUAGUAACUAAAUCCUACAUUUUCCCCAUAUUCCUCCUUUUUUGUUUUAUUUAAGCUGAAUUCUUGAUUGUUGAUUUCUUCAGCACGUCUAGAAGAUCAGAGAAGACAGGAUCUUGAAAAAGUCAGGAGGGUGUGUUCUGCCCAGAUCGCGAAGUCCCCAAAGACCACCAAGGAGCUGAUUCCGAUGCAAACACACGAGGGUCGUGUAUUGAAGCUCGAGCAGGGACUCUCAACCGUCGCCGACGCAGCGGGUUGAGCAAGUACAGAUGUUAUCAUAGGUAUCACUUCAGCAUCUGUCAAGAGACCUACAUCAUCAUCACAUCCUGGUUCAGUAUAAGUAAAUUACUUUAUUUGAGAACAUUUGAGCUGAUGGAAGAUGACUUUAGAAUACAGAGUGUGCUGCUUCUUUUCCAUGAUUUUCUGCAAUCAAGACACAAGAAUAUACUACGUGCUUCUUCUAACUAGAGACAAAUACUUGGAAGAACUGGAGAUCAGAGACCACAGCUACCUCCUGACCAGAAAUUUCUCUGAACUUUAGGUACUUUUGAAACAGGACUUAAGAAGAAAAGAAUCAAGUUUCCCAACCUUAAGAAAUAUGGCUGUUUUUCUUUGUUCUAAUACAGACAAAAUCAGUGGCUUUGUCCCUAUAAAUAAAGUUUUAUAAUCUCCUGAUCUCAUAACAUCCUGUUUUUGCCCAACCAAAGGCACUGGAAUAUGUUAAGUGGGGAAACUGUCACAGCUUGAUAAACUACCUUUGUUCUGCCUACCCAUUCUGAAGUUACAUGCUACUAGGUAGAUCAAUUUCCUUGACAGCAUGUAUUAAACUGAAGUCCUUCCUUUGUUUGGGGCUCAACUUUGGAUAGGAGUCUGAUGAGAUGGUGUACACCUAAAUAAAAUCCUCCUGUUUCA